GAUGAACGCUGGCGGCGUGCCUAAUACAUGCCAGUCGAGCGAACAGACGAGGAGCUUGCUCCUCUGACGUUAGCGGCGGACGGGUGAGUAACACGUGGAUAACCUACCUAUAAGACUGGUAUAACUUCGGGAAACCGGAGCUAAUACCGGAUAAUAUAUUGAACCGCAUGGUUCAAUAGUGAAAGACGGUUUUGCUGUCACUUAUCGAUGGAUCCGCGCCGCAUUAGCUAGUUGGUAAGUUAACGGCUUACCAAGGCGACGAUGCGUAGCCGACCUGAGAGAGUGAUCGGCGACACUGGAACUGAGACACGGUCCAGACUCCUACGGGAGGCAGCAGUAGGGAACCUUACGCAAUGGGCGAAAGCCUGACGGAGCAACGCCGCGUGAGUGAUGAAGGUCUUCGGAUCGUAAAACUCUGUUAUUAGGGAAGAACAAAUGUGUAAGUAACUAUGCACGUCUUGACGGUACCUAAUCAGAAAGCCACGGCUAACUACGUG
rnacentral:rRNA from 1 species